GAGAGAACUCUGGAAGAGAGUGAAGGUGGAUCCUGAACUCUGGCGUGAAACUGAUAUUAUCAAAUAGCUUGAAGUGUCCUGAAGUGAUUGCUGUGACUCUGAUAUAUAAUCAAUCAUAUCAAAGAUCUUCCUAUGAACCUUUGGUAGUCAGACAAAACUCUGGAGUGUGAUCCAAGCAGGAUUUUAUCCUAGGAGGGCAGUCUGUGUGUGUCUGACCAGCAGAUUAAGCUAUCUCUACUACUUCUCUAGACUCAACUGUUUACUUAGGUGCUUAGGUAUAUUAUAUUUAGAUUAAGAAGAGAAGAAUUUCUAGUAGGACUGAUCCUGGCUGAUGGUCACAGCCGAGGACUCAAGAUCAGUCUGAAGGGAAUAACAUAGAGAUACCUGAUAAUCUCUUUCCUAUACGUUUCCCUAACUUGUCUCAGAAAUAAACUACUGUUGUUCCAUCAAAUACACAGUCAGGCCCAGAUAAUACUCCAGAUUCUAUCAAACUUGAAAGAGGAGAAGGAUCAAGGUCAAUUAAAAAGAUUUAAAGAGGAUUAAGUGGAAUGAGGGAGAAUUAUGGUAGAGAAAGAAUCAAGAAGGAAAAGGAGAAGAUUGUUAACAAGACAUGGCAAUGUUUUAAAAAAACAAGAAUCCAAGGAAAUGAAAGGGAGUUGCAAAGCAUUGGGAAAACCUUCCUCAUGGUUAGAGCUGACCAAAAUUGGAAUGAGUGCUUCAAAAGGUAAUGAAUUGAUUCUCCUGAAAAGACUUCAAGCAGAAAUUAAGUAACUACUUGUUGGGAACAUUAUACUGGAGGUUAUUCCUAGUUGGAUCAGAUCAGAAGGCUGCUGAAGUACCAUCUAAACCUCAAAUUCUGUGAUACCAAGAUAUACAAUUAGGUCAUAUUAUGUAGGACAAGGCACUUAACCUUUGGCUUAUUAUUUGUAAAAUGAGGGAAUUGUCUAAGUAUGAU